rnacentral:misc_RNA from 1 species
UUUAAACUUUGUUGCCAUUGGGAAGAUUUCUUAAACACACCAAGUUCAUAGUCUGAUUCCUGAUUGUUUUCUGUUGGAGCAAAUAAGAAAGGUAGCUUUUAAAUGUAAAGACAUGCUUUAAAUGCACAUAAAAGAUGCUUCAAACAAAACUCAUUGUAAAUCAUACAUGGGUUGAGGAAGAUAUUUUGAUUAUUUUGGAUUAAAACAAUUGAUAUAAACAUCAGAGUUUCUUUGGUGUUCAAAUAUAUAUUAUUUCUAUGAAUCAAGUUUUAGCACACAGUUUCUGUCAUUAUUACAAAGUCUUGCAAAAUUCUCAGACAUACCUGGUACUUAUCAAAAUUUAUUCAUUACAACUACUUCUCCUGAAUUUAAAGCUGAAUUUGAUUGCUCUCUAACAAAAAAUGAUUGUAGCAAGUGCCUCUAAUUCUGACUGACCAUUCAACACGAUGCAAGUAUGAGGUAUUUCCAAGAAUCACUGUUGUAGCCCAUACUUUAUUUAUCAGACUAUUUCAAAAGUGUAAAACCACACAGUCAUGCCAAUUGUUAACCGUUUCAUUUUGUGUAAAUUAAUGAUAAAAUGUUUGAAAUUGUACCAUAAACAUGCCAGGAUCUCUGAUUUGCUAUUUAAAUAAAGUCUGUCCCAAGAUAUUAAAAUUGAUGAAAGGGAAAUUAUCCAAGAUGCAUGUACAUGUAUCUUCAUCGACACAUUACCAUUUCUCACUCGGAAAAAAUCACAAGAACAAAAACCAAUUUCUUACAGAGAUUUAUAAUGGAAAGUGUUUACCUGGUAUAUCCUUUCUCCGUUUUGAAGUUACUUGGAAUACCUUGCACAAUUUUUCAUUAUUAUCAUCUGAGUACAUUUAUCUUUGUGCAAAGGAAAUCCCCGUAGCCUUUUUGUUUUAAGCCUUGUAUUGAAACCUGACAAGCUACAUGUACAGGGGGUGUUUCAAAGGGGAAAUCUUGGGGAAUUUUUCAUGCUAUUGAAUGCACAUUGUUAGAACCCAGAUGUAUUUAUAAAUAUAGAAUAAUCUAAGAAAAUUGUGCAGCAAAAAUAUUUUGGGACAGACAAUAGGUUUAUGUAUUAAAAGCAUUAAAAUUCUUCUGAGAUUUUGAACUACAGCAUUGUCAUUAUGUUUCCUGUGAGAAUUGAGAAAUUUAAGUAAUAAUAGUACAUGUAAAACCAUAUUAAUGAUGAAGAUAAAAUAUAUUGAU